UUACCCACGGCGGGGUCUUUCCCUCCUUGCAUCAGCGCCCUUGACAAUUCCACCACAACAACCAUUCCUCAUGAACAGAAACACCGAACGCACCAACCCCGGAUCAGAAUCAGAUCUCAACUCUCUUUCCCUGCAAUACCCAUUAAGAUCCCUUUCUUCAAAUCAAUUCACCUCGCUUUACUCUUCCCUGAUUUGAUUUGAUUUGAUUUGAUUUCUUCUUCUUCUUCUUCUUCUUCUUGUCGUCGUUCUUGUUGGGCGUUUUGGGUUGGAUCGCAUUAUUGCAUCCAUGGCUUCCAAAUAGGCCCUGGAAGGAGAUGGUAGAGAGUGAUUUUGAGGCACAAGCAGACAAGGUUGAGUUCACGGGCUCUAGUACUACUGCUCAUUCCGGCUCGGGUCUCCGAAGGGAACCUUCAUUCUCGCGCUGGUGCGUCGAAGAUGGAAUAGUCUGUUCGGAUCGUGUUUCGGAAAACGCUGAUGCGAGCGUAGAUGACUCUGACUUCGAAUUGCCUUUGCUUCAACAGGGGGUUUUGAAAUUUGGGUCUUUGGAUAUGGAGAGGUACGAAGAUGGUGAGUGUAAGAUGAGGGGCGUGCACGUGAAUGGGGGUAAUCGUGUGGAUAUGAAUGAGGAUGGUGUCUCUAAUCGCGUUGAGGGCAGUGGGAGUGAGAAGUACGUGCCUUUUGAUAUUGAGGAUGGGCCCGAACGGGAGGUGAAGCUUUCGGGUGUUGACGAUGGUGGUGGUUCGAAUUCUUUUCCUGAUCGCGUAGAUUCGCCAACGAAUUGUAGGAGUCCUCUUUGCGUUGCCAGUGUGUUGAAGACGUUGUUUUUCAUACUGGUUUGGUACACUUUCAGCACAUUCUUGACGCUGUACAAUAAAACUCUACUGGGAGAUGAUAUGGGAAAGUUCCCAGCCCCUUUAUUAAUGAAUACCGUCCACUUUUCAAUGCAAGCUGUUCUUUCAAAGGCCAUCACAUGGUUUUGGUCUCAAAGAUUUCAGCCUGGUGUGACUAUGUCAUGGAGGGAUUACUUUUUUAGAGUUGUACCAACGGCUCUUGGAACAGCCUUGGAUGUUAAUCUGAGCAAUGCAUCCCUAGUUUUCAUCUCUGUUACAUUUGCAACUAUGUGUAAAUCUGCUUCUCCUAUAUUUCUCCUUCUAUUUGCCUUUGCAUUCAGGUUGGAGUCUCCCAGUAUUAAACUUCUAGGAAUCAUCUUAAUUAUCUCAGUUGGCAUUUUAUUAACAGUUGCCAAGGAGACUGAAUUUGACUUUUGGGGUUUCAUUUUUGUUAUGCUUGCGGCUGUCAUGUCUGGGUUUCGCUGGUCUAUGACUCAGAUUCUUCUGCAGAGAGAAGCCUAUGGCUUGAAAAAUCCUCUUGUGUUGAUGAGCUAUGUGACUCCAGUCAUGGCCAUUGCAACUGCUUUCCUCUCUCUUAUGCUGGAUCCAUGGCGCGAAUUAAAAAUGAACGAGUACUUCAAUAACUCGUGGCAUGUUGCUCGGAGUUGCUUGCUGAUGUUUUUUGGUGGAACUCUUGCCUUCUUUAUGGUGUUAACAGAAUUCAUUCUUGUCUCGGUAACUAGUGCAGUGACUGUGACAAUUGCUGGAGUUGUCAAGGAGGCUGUCACUAUUUUGGUGGUAAUUUCUCUUUUUUGGAGAUUUUCCCUAUCUUUAUGAACUUGAGCAAAGAAAGAUACUUGGGUGAAGUACUACAUUCAUCGGAAGGGAGCAAUAUGGAUUUGGGAUGCGGUGAUAUGGUUUUCCAAAAGAAAAGUACAAAUCUAAAUUCUUGGUUUAUUUUUUCUUUGAGGAAAUGGCUGAUGGUAAGUUGUUAUAGCCAUGGAAAGCUUUCUGGUUAGAAGAAUUUGGACCCCUUUGGCUUCGUCCAAGGUUAUAUUCUUCACUUAUGGCACUGAACAAGUGCAUAAUUCCAGGUCAAUUAGUUGACAUAAUUUGAUAUAUUCCAAAAUAGAUGUAUUGUUGUGUAAAGAGGCGGCGGAAUUGGUAAGCCACUUGUUUAUUCAUUUUAGAACUGCUUUGAACCCUUGCAAUUUUUAUUUUUAUUUUUGUUGGAGUGCUUUAGGUGAUGCUACAAUUUGCAAAAGAUGUGUUUGGUGGCUGGUGGUUUUAUUAUUAUUAUUAUUAUUUAAUUUUUUUCGGGUGGGGGGCAGAAAUAAGCUCCAGAAUUGUGUUUGGAUCUGGGUAUCUUGUUCUAUAUUUGGUGAUUUUGAGAUAGCAGUUUUGAUGUUCAAAGUUUAAAAUUGUCCUUUUUUUUGCAGAAGCUAUCUUUGUGGGCCUGUGGGAAAAGUUCAACAGGAGGGAAUUUUUUGCUAUUAUAUAUUGGGAUUCCCUUGGGUUUUAAUACUUUUCCUUUCCCCUCAUCCUUUCCCUUGCUUCUUGUAUAUUAUGGUGCACCCAAAGCAUUUCUCCUUCCUUGUCUAUCAAAUGUUAAAAAUUUAAGUGGAUCCUUUUUAUACUUCCUCUUCAAUUUUUUGAAGCAAAAAAGAAGGAUAAAAAAAAAACUUGUAUCAGCAAUUUGUCAGCUAAUUUUUUAUGUUUCACAUGGUUUUCUCAAAUUGUAUUUUGAUCACCCAUGGGGUCUGACAUGUUUUAUUUGAGUUGAAAACUGGGGGGAUUGUGGGUGAAUAUGCAAGUGCUGUGCAAGUCAGUGAUUUUUAUAUAUAACUUAGCAUUGUAUUACUAUUUAUGAUUCCUCGGCAUGCUCAUGAACACUUUUGAACAGGACUGCGCAUUGAUGAUAAAGUCAUGGACAUCAAAUAUGUAGCCAUGCCCAUGUUUUCAUUUGGGGACUGGUCAUGUUUAGUUCUAGACUAAUUUUUGUUCAGAGAGCCUAGUCCAUCCUCCAUAAUUGUCCUGAGUUCUUUGUUAGCUCUUAAUUUUAUUUAAACUGAUGAUCAUUAGUGAUGUUCUUCUUUCCAUGUUCAGGUUGCAGUCUUAUACUUCCAUGAUAAAUUUACCUGGUUGAAAGGGGUUGGUCUCUUCACAAUCAUGAUUGGUGUCAGUUUAUUCAAUUGGUACAAAUAUGAAAAACUACAAAAGGCUCAUGUUAGUGAAGAUGACAUGGGGGGAUCUG